rnacentral:rRNA from 1 species
AUUGAACGCUGGCGGCAGGCCUAACACAUGCAAGUCGAGCGGAUGAAGAGAGCUUGCUCUCUGAUUCAGCGGCGGACGGGUGAGUAAUGCCUAGGAAUCUGCCUGGUAGUGGGGGACAACGUUUCGAAAGGAACGCUAAUACCGCAUACGUCCUACGGGAGAAAGUGGGGGAUCUUCGGACCUCACGCUAUCAGAUGAGCCUAGGUACGAUUAGCUAGUUGGUGAGGUAAAGGCUCACCAAGGCGACGAUCGUUAACUGGUCUGAGCGGAAGAUCAGUCACACUGGAACUGAGACACGGGCCAGACUCCUACGGGAGGCAGCAGUGGGGAAUAUUGGACAAUGGGCGAAAGCCUGAUCCAGCCAUGCCGCGUGUGUGAAGAAGGUCUUCGGAUUGUAAAGCACUUUAAGUUGGGAGGAAGGGCAGUAAGUUAAUACCUUGCUGUUUUGACGUUACCGACAGAAUAAGCACCGGCUAACUUCGUGCCAGCCGCCGCAGUAAGAC